UUCCGGAAAUGAAGGGGGCGCUAUUUUCAUAAUCACUAGUAUAAAUACCUUAAGACGCGGAGUUGAGAGGAAAGGAAGAAGAAAGAAAGAAGUUCUUCCACUGGUGUUCGGCACACGAUCAACAAUGCAAACCUCACAAAGUCAACAAAAGAUCCACGUAUCUAUUUGCAACAUUCGGAACGGAGAGAAGAUUCUUCCGUAUUGCAUGAACGAUAAAUAUUGCUGUUCCCUUUGCUCAUACAAGCUACAGAACCAUAUAGCACAAACUGCUAUGGUUCAACAUAACGAUGCCUUUAAAUGUUCUUGAAGCUGUUCUCCAGGAGGUGAUACCAGCACAGG